rnacentral:rRNA from 1 species
UACGUAGGUGGCAAGCGUUGUCCGGAUUUAUUGGGUUUAAAGGGUGCGUAGGCGGUCCCAUAAGUCAGUGGUGAAAUACGGCAGCUCAACUGUCGAGGUGCCAUUGAUACUGCGGGACUUGAGUACUGAUGAGGUAGGCGGAAUUGACGGUGUAGCGGUGAAAUGCUUAGAUAUCGUCAAGAACACCGAUAGCGAAGGCAGCUUACUAAGGAGUAACUGACGCUGAGGCACGAAAGUGCGGGGAU